CAGCCGCCGCGGGAAUACGAAGGGUGCAAGCGUCACUCGGAAUUACUGGGCGUAAAGCGUGUGUAGGUGGUUGUUUAAGUCUGCCGUGAAAGCCCUGGGCUCAACCUGGGAAUUGCGAUGGAUACUGGGCGACUAGAGUGCGGUAGAGGAUAGUGGAAUUUCCGGUGUAGCAGUGAAAUGCGUAGAGAUCGGAAGGAACAUCUGUGGCGAAGGCGACUAUCUGGGCCAACACUGACACUGAGACACGAAAGCGUGGGGAGCAAACAGGAUUAGAUACCCGGGUAGUCCCUGUCUCUUAUAC
rnacentral:rRNA from 1 species